rnacentral:lncRNA from 1 species
UUUUUUUAUUGGCAGUAGCGAGCAUGGCUUUUUUUAAUGAGGUGUUUGGCAGCGUCCACUGGGGCAUGUAGGUACAGUGUGUGGGUAGAAGGGGCAGCCCUGGGCAACAUACCAGGCAAUGUAGAGUGAAAAAAUUCUAAAAGAUGGAGAAUUCUUUCAUGUGCUUUUAACAACCCCUUGCCUCUCCUAUAUAUCCUAGGUUGUUUGAUGAUUUCUUGCCAUUUAAAUGUGAAUUUUAGGUUCAGAGCAAGUAAUGUUUUAAGCAGGUCAUCCAGUCAUUAAAUAUAUUAACCAUGGAUCGUAUGCCCAUUAGUCAAACUUGAUGAAGAAUUAAGUCAGUUCUUAAGUUCAAUAGUCAGACAGCUUUUCUGAAUAGCCUGCUGUAUUGUGCUGGUGCUCUCCUGGCCACGACUGGGGACUUCUGGAGAAAAUAAAAAAAAAGUCAGUUGUUGAGCUUGAAAGCUGAGUCUUAUACUGGAUAACUUAAUCUCUGGGGAUGAGAAAUAAGGAGGAAUGUGAGAUGUAUAUGGAUCAGGAGGUUCUGUGUUUUGCAAAGACAUAAAAGAUACAGACCAGAACUGAGAAUUGUGAAUGGAGUUAGGAAAAUAAUGGAGAUGACUGCUAAAUCCAUGGGAUUCUCUGCUUAGUGGUGUCAGAAGGUGCUAUAAACAUGACAAAACAUAAUCAGCUGAACUAAGCCCAUAAAACCUAACAUAAUUAACUGUC